AGGGAAGAAGGUCUUCGGAUUGUAAACCUUUGUCUUCAGGGAAGAAAGGCAACGUAAGUUGUCUUGACGGUACCUGAGGAGGAAGCCACGGCUAACUACGUGC
rnacentral:rRNA from 1 species